rnacentral:rRNA from 1 species
UACGGGGGGGGCAAGCGUUGUUCGGAAUUACUGGGCGUAAAGGCUCGUAGGCGGCCAACUAAGUCAGACGUGAAAUCCCCUCGGCUUAACCGGGGAACUGCGUCUGAUACUGGAUGGCUUGAAUCCGGGAGAGGGAUGCGGAAUUCCAGGUGUAGCGGUGAAAUGCGUAGAUAUCUGGAGGAACACCGGUGGCGAAGGCGGCAUCCUGGACCGGCAUGACGCUGAGGAGCGAAAGCCAGGGGAGCAAACGGG